CCUGAAGAAAGUGUGUGAAAAACUCUUGAUAAUGUUGGACUGGGGAAAGAUUGUAUGACAAAGACUUUAGGAGCAAUUGCAACAACAACAAAAAUAAACACAUGGAACUUAAUUAAGCUGAAAACUGCACAGUAGCCAUCCCUGCAGGCCUGGGCAAGAUGUUCUUCCUGCAGUGGCACCCAUGGUUCCUAUGUCAGGCUAAAGGGUGUUCAACCUCAAGGCUGCACACUCUGUAAGGGAUGGAACCUACACGGACCUGAGUCUGCUGACAGAAAGGAGCCUGGUAGAUCUUACCCAAAUAGCUCCUGAGUGCUGAGCUGGUGUCCAGAAGACUUCAACCUGCAGUGUUAGUAUCAUAGGAAGGUAGGUGGAGCUAAAGAAGGAAUGCUGGAAGCCUGGGAAGAAAAAGCCAAUCAGGAGAGAGGUUUGGGAUUGUCUGUAAAAAUUUAUUCUCUGGAUAACAAUCAAAUAUUUAACAACAAAAACAAAACAGGGAGACCAAAGGAGAAAGGAAAGAAGAAACACAAUGAGACUCUUUGAAGGACAAUGUGCCAGUGAAGGUCAAUUUGAAAUGCAUGAGACGGCUAAUAUGAGCAAACUGUUCAUCUCUCUGAUCCUCAUCUGCAAAAUGGGGAUAUCUUCCUUAUGGAACAGUGUGGGGGCAGCAGCAUGGAAUUUCCUGGUGACACCUACAGUUGUGACCCCAGCUUUCAGAAUCCAUUAAUUCUUCCCCAUCUGCUUGGAUCAAUAGCUAAGGCAACGCUGGCAUCACAGUUUUAAGCACCACAGAACCAUCCAUCUUCAUCUUGAAAUACGGUGUAAUGCUGAGAAUAAUGUCAACAUGGAAAAUAGAAUUUAUUCUUUUCAUUGUUCAUGGCAAAAUAUUUUUGUUCAUACCACAUUUCUUUCAAAUAUUACAACUAAAAAUUUAUGAAACUUUUUCAGGUGAAUUAACACAAUUUCGCAUGCCAAAAUGGUGAAUUCUAAUUAAAUAUUAUUAUCCUCAAUUUACUGAAGAGGACACUGAAUUUUGCCCAAGGUCACCAGUUGGUAGCAGAAAUGGAAUUCAAACUCUGAACUUCAUGUUUCUUGGUCAUGAAGAAUGUCACUCCACCAUUCCUUCAUUUGGAGGGGGAAGCAUUGCUAAAUAAUUAAAGGGUGACAUUUUCUACAGUAUUUUAAAGCUUCAACACUGUUAUUUUGUUUUAUACAAGAGAUUAAAGAAUUUUUUCUGCUUUGAUGUAAAGUAUGAUGGAAUGCUACAAAUGCAUGAAUUGCUACAUUUCCCUGAAUAUUAAGUUUCUUUCUUACACUGGUAAAGCAAACUGAGUCUCUAAAAAGCACCCUGAAAAUUCACUCAAAAAUGUAGCUGCUGAAAAAAGCAUAUUUACAAGCAGAUGUCUAGGAUUUGACAAUUUAGUAUAAAAAAUAUUAAUCGAAAGCAAAGUAAAUAGUCGCCUAUAUAUUACCUAAUCCAAAUCUUUCCUUAUUAGUUCCAAAAAGAAUGACAAUAAACUAUUAACAAUAACCAUGUUUACUCUAGGGCCAAACAGACCCCUCAGCCUGAUGUCCAGGCACAGCCAUUUAAUGCUCAUUUAAAGCCCAAGGAAAUCUCAUUUCAUGAAAAAAAUUUUUCUCACAAAUAAAAAAAAAAUUUACUCAGCUCAGAAAUGACUUGGAGAAGCUAAGAGACCCAUUUAACAGAUUUAAGCUUUCCUUAUUGGAAACUGGCUUCGGUGGAAACUUGUUAGUCUUGUCAGUUUUCCUACAAAAUUAAUUUGUUUUGCAGCAAAGCCUUUAGACUGUAUGUAUUAAACAUUAUAACUAAGCCAGACCCUUUAGUCAGGCACAGACUAUACAAUUUAGAGGAGGAAAAACAAUAAAUUAAGAUAAAGCAAUGUGAAAGAUUUUUCACUGAAAAAAAAGCUAGCCAUGUAAUUUAUUAUUUUUCUAGCUACAGGGUCUUGACCCUUUGGGGAUGUUGAAAGGAAUAACAGGAUUGAUUGAGGAAAGGGAAAAAUGGCAACUUUAAAAAGCUUGUGGAAAAUUAGAUGGUGUUAUGAUGCCUGGUCAUGACUUCCUCCUGCCAAAAUGAGAUUCAUUAAAGAAAACUCUUAAGUAAAUUAAAACUGUGCUGGCCAAUAUUCUCCCCUCCAGAUGUUAACAACUGACUGUGGCUCAUUUGACAACAUGGCUGUGGGUAAUCAGUAGAAGCAUUUCUAUUAGAGGGAUGACAAGAAGCACUGGAAAAUAUUUUAUAUGCUUUUAACCAGAAAUGACAGAAACAGCUGACUGAUUGAUGACUUCACAUGUCAGGAGCCCAGGAUGCUUUCACCAUGUGGAGUGACUGCUCAUGAGUUCAGACUGUGGUCCUGACUUGUGUAUGUGACAAGAAGAUGGCUAAGCCUGGUGCAGCAGGGAGAACCUCUGGCUCAGAGAGUGCCAGACCUCUUUUUUCUGGACUCAUCACCGGGGCAGUUUAUUUAUGUUCUAGGAUACAGGAGCUGUUCUUCCUGUUGGGCAUUUUGGUGUAUGGAAAAUGGCAGA